CCCCAAAUGCAGUGUGGGGGUGUAUAUUGAACAAACCCCAAAGUUUCUCAAACCCCUUUGAGUAAGUCAGCCCACACUAGAGUAUAACUUCAGAACCAUGGGCAUGGAUAAGGCUGCCUUUCUUCCUUAUUUUCUCCUUGGGCCCACAAGAGCUGAACAACAUUUCUUUCCUAGGCAAGGCACUUGAACAAGUAGUUAUCAGACAAAUCCAGGCACUCAGGGAUGAAACACAUUUUCUAGAUCGAUUUCAGUCGGUUCCAGCCAAAGAUCUUUCUAUUUCCCUAAGCCCUGUAAGUCAUGUUGUAGCUUUUAUCAUUAUUUUACCUCUGAUAUUUAUUCUUUGCUCUUUAUUUUCCUUGAUCUGUUUCCCAUCUUUCUUGGUGUUCUAAAAGCUGUGCAGUUUUUGAUUGCAUUUUUUAUUGUAUUGUUGUGUUUUUCAUAAGAUAUUUUUAUUCCAUAAAUUGUCCAUGGAAUUUCCUGUUAUUAUUAGGGUGGUCUAUAAAUAAUGCAAGCAAGCAAACAAAUCUCUCUGUUUAGAAGUCAGUCAUCGCCAGUAUCCAGCUAGACUGGUCAAGCAGCAAGUGAAAAUCAGUAAUGAGUAGACCACAUCGCCAUUUUAUGUGUUGAAGGAGUCAAUAGGAAUUGGCAUUUGUUGGUUAUUUACUUGAGUCAAACCACUGUUCUGAAUCGCUCAGCUUGCAAGCCAUGUUUUCUCACUUCUUGGUUCAACACACUUUCUGAGACCGCCCAGGAUAAAUUGAGUUCCAAUCUUAAAUCAAGGCAAGAAAUCAGAAGUCCUGUGAGUUGCAUCCUUCUUGGGAAACUUUCCUACACUUUUCAUCAUAUCAACUGGCAUGUAGGUAAGACGUCAUGCAGCAGUGCCUCUGGAUUGCGUAAGUUGAGAAGAAACUUUUGGUGGUCUACACUUGCCUAUUAAUGCUUGCUUACCAUUGAUACUUGGGAUUGCUGGUACACAUUUUUUUUUUCUAAAUUAAAAUGGGAGACACAUGUCUCUCUUAUACUUCAAAAAUGCCCAUACACAUAGAUUUUCUUGAUCAGCUCCCGGAAGAUUUAGAAAGCUGUCUUACACCAAGUCAUACCAUUGGCUCAUCUAAGACACUUUUAUCUACUCUAGAUGUGCAUCCCUAAGGUUUCAGAUUGGGGUAUUUAUUUCUCAGCUAGAUAGAGCUUGGUAUAAAGACACCUUUUUGUGUUCCUACCAUUAGUUCUAAUACCAAAAUGACUCAACAAGGACCUAUGAUCUGUCUCUUGUCCAAGAUGACUGGAGCUCUGAAUGGGAGCAUUCCUGUUAAGGACUCGGGAUAUGUAAAAGCAUUGUCCUGUGUUAUUACCACCCUUACAAGGCAGCACCAAGAUUUCUCAUACAUUCCUAGCUGCCAUAUAUGAUUGGCAAGGUACAUUUGGCUUAGUGUGAUCCCACAUUGUGCAGACCUGCCCUUUUAAUACUAAGAAGACUAUAAGGAUUCUUUUUAUGAAAGGGCGAUCACCUGAUGGAAACAUUAAAAAAAAAAUUUGCGUGUUCAUAACAUAACAUAACAUAAAAUAAUUAAAGAUAUUGAGGUAGAAGAAUACAUGUCAAUAUGUGACAAGUAGAUUGAUUCAGCUUGGCAGUAUUUGUAGAACCCCUUAUAACCCCCAACUAAAUUAGUUAACAGAAAGUUAUGAAAUAAACAUCCUUGCAGGCUUACAUAAAGUUGAACAGCAGAAGUGAGAUAAGCAGUGUGAAGUGAGACUAGCUUGCUUUUCAUUGUCAGAAUUUUGAUAUGGGCUCUGUUUAUAGCUUUAAUCCUUAAGAGUGUGUCUACACAACACCUCUGGGAAGGCAACAUCUCAUUUCUAAGAAAACACUGAGGCAUUACAGCUAGCGUAUCACAGGCGCGCUGCAAACUGUUAUAUUGCCAAUAUACCAGGAAUGAUUAAAAACAAGCACAGGCAUGCCUUACAGUAAUCCUGCAUUUCUUAUUAGACUUCCUAGCAUCUGUCGAGGAUCCGUUAUUGCCAGGAGAGAGAAUCUGAGUGCCAAGAGCAGUAGGUGGCCUUUUGAUGACCUCUGGUGCUUCUUCUGAACCUUCAGGGUGAUGCACACAAGUACACUUGAGACCCUCUGCAUUUUGCUAAAUGUAUCUAGCUCUCUCUCUCUCUCUCUCUCUCUCUCUCUCUCUCUCUCUGUGUGUGUGUGUGUGCAUUAAAAGCCCUGUUGAAAAAAAA
rnacentral:lncRNA from 1 species